rnacentral:lncRNA from 1 species
AACAACAAAAACAAAAUAACUUUAGGCACAAGGGUGACCGGAAAAGAGGAAAGGACCAUAUUUAUUGAUUGAUGUUAGAGAAACUAAUAGAAGAUGUCAAAAAAAAAACAUAAAAAGAAGGGUGAGCGGAGGGGGAGGAGGUGAUGAGAAGACGGGGUUGAAAUAGGAACCGUGGCGAAGCGAAGAUGUAGCAAAAAGGGGAAACGCUUUUCGUUUUCAUCUUAAUCUUAUUUUCGAAUUGACACCUAUACACUUUAAAAUAAAAAAAAA